UGCUUCAACUCUUCCAUGGUGAUUUGGAAGAGGUCUCUGAACGGACAAGGAUAUGUAUACACCUGAAGCUCUUCCUUCCACUCCAUAUCCUCGAUCUCCACAUCAUCAUUUAACAAGAGAGGAAAGAGGUGUGCCUGUAAAUUCUAUAUUACCAUUUUAAAGUCAGAAGUUUACAGACCAACAAGAAUUCACAAGAGGGGAAAGAGGAGUGCCUCAUGGGAGGGAGGACUAAUUACCUCACUCGAUGGCUGCUUACCAAUUAGUUGCUGUUGCUGACGAAUUUACUUGUUGGCUGAGGAAGAGAGCACGUGCCGGACCGCAGGCGGCGAACGG